ACGGUCGCCGAGAGGGGCAACUCGCGGCCGGGUGCGGGGCCGUUAGCACGUGGCUGCGAGCGGUCUUCGCUGGGGGUUUAGGUAUCAUAUUGAAUGUGCUUGAUGCCACACAGCGCCAUCUAUUCAUACAGAGGAGAGAAUUUGUUACUGCAGAUUUUGGAGGCUGGGCUUUUUUGGUGGAUUAUGUCUCCUUUGAUGUACCUUGACAGCCCCACUGAGAAGCUUUGGUGAGGACUUAGACCACCACUACAGAGCACUGUGGCAGAUCUUUUUUUUUAAAUGAAAAAUAUUAAGUUUCAACAGGAAGCAGAAACAUUCCCCUAAAUCGUAAUUAUGUCAAAGGUUCUACUGGGGAUUUUAUUGGUAGGAUGUGUCCAAGUGAAGUUCUGAUUUGGAGGUGGUGUCCUGAGCCAGUCUUUCUCUGAAGAGGAGAGUGCGCAAGGGAGGAAAUGGUUGAGUUUAAGUUCUGUUUGAAGGAAGGGCAAAAGGAACAAAAUUAUAUCUGUGGUGAUACUGCUGGUAUCGCAGCUUGCUUUGGAAAGGCAGCAGUUGUUUUAUCUUCUUUUUUAUAUCCUAAGUGUUUCCUUUUUUUCAAAACAAAAGGAAAUUUGCCCAGAAAGUAACCCUCUUUGAAUAGCAGCAGGGACUUAGCUGUAAUUUAGGCUGCAGGGUUUCUUGGAGCAGGCACUGAGUCCUCCCCUUUGUCCAUGGAGUGCAGGGAUCACUGAGGAGGCCAGAUAAAUAAAAAUCAUUUACAUAACACUGUCCAGAGGUCCCAGAAAGAACAUCUAGAGGCUGCCAGUGCUCUUUGCCUUCCGGGUGCUCAUGGCUUGCUGCACUGUGAGGGCUUAGACACUUUCAACAAAAUUCAGAGGCCUGUGCUCCAGUGAGACCCAGAAAAGUUUUGCUUAGGCUUAGUAGGAAAUACCUGUUUUCACCCAUUCCUGUCAUUACUUUCUCAUCUUUGUGCUUAUCUCAAAGGACUUGCAAUGUACUCCUGGUUGCCCAUUUCGUGUCUGAAAACUUUGUGGUUUUGUAAAGCUAGGCACUUCAUCAUUAGGCUCACGCUGUCUGGCUCCGCAGACAUGGGAGCUCCAUGGAGAAGGUGGCCCUUUCAUCUCCUGCCACACCAUAUUAAUUUUGCAAAUGUGACAAGCUCAGCUUUGCAAAAAUAACAUAUUGCCCAUGUCUUGUUCUAUUUAAUAUUGUAUUCAAAUCGUCCAAGUGCUCAGCGGCGUGGGCUGGGGGAAAUGGCUCUGCAGACUUCUUUGUCACUUGACUGGCAGCUGGCUUCCAGAAGUUAAUUAUAGCUGUUCAGUGCCAUGGUCCACCAAACCUCUUGGGGAUCAGUGAGGCAUCAGGUGCACAGUGACUCAAGAGGCAAGAACAAAGAUGCUCCAGUUCCCAGGCCAUAAGGGCCAUAAGCUUUA